ACAUGAAGCUGGAAUCGCUAGUAAUCGCGGAUCAGAAUGCCGCGGUGAAUACGUUCCCGGGUCUUGUACACACCGCCCGUCACACCAUGGGAGUCGGAAAUGCCCGAAGUCUGUGACCCAACAUACGGGAGGGAGCAGCCGAAGGCAGGUCGGAUGACUGGGGUGAAGUCGUAACAAGGUAGC
rnacentral:rRNA from 1 species